GGGCGGGUGGCGGAAUUGGCAGACGCGCACGGCUUAGGACCGUGUGCCGCAAGGCGUAGGGGUUCAAGUCCCCUCCCGCCCA
rnacentral:tRNA from 1 species